UGGGGAAUAUUGCACAAUGGGGGAAACCCUGAUGCAGCGACGCCGCGUGAAGGAAGAAGUAUUUCGGUAUGUAAACUUCUAUCAGCAGGGAAGAAAAUGACGGUACCUGAGUAAGAAGCCCCGGCUAACUACGUGCCAGCAGCCGCGGUAAUACGUAGGGGGCAAGCGUUAUCCGGAUUUACUGGGUGUAAAGGGAGCGUAGACGGUAAUGUAAGUCUGAUGUGAAAGCCCGGGGCUCAACCCCGGGACUGCAUUGGAAACUAUGUAACCAGAGUACCGGAGAGGUAAGCGGAAUUCCUAGUGUAGCGGUGAAACGCGUAGAUAUUAGGAGGAACACCAGUGGCGAAGGCGGCUUACUGGACAGUAACUGACGUUGAGGCUCGAAAGCGUGGGGAGCAAACAGG
rnacentral:rRNA from 1 species